rnacentral:rRNA from 1 species
UAAAACCAGCACCUCGAGUGGUCAGGAGGUUUAUUGGGCCUAAAGCAUCCGUAGCCGGUUGCAUAAGUUUUCGGUUAAAUCUAUGCGCUUAACGUAUAGGCCGCCGAAAAUACUGUGCAGCUAGGGAGUGGGAGAGGUACACGGUACUCGAUAGGAAGGGGUAAAAUCCUUUGAUCUAUUGAUGACCACCUGUGGCGAAGGCGGUGUACCAGAACACGUUCGACGGUGAGGGAUGAAAGCUGGGGGAGCAAACCGGAUUAGAUACCCGGGUAGUCCCAGCUGUAAACGAUGCAGACUCGGUGAUGCAUUGGCUUGUGGCCAAUGCAGUGCCGCAGGGAAGCCGUUAAGUCUGCCGCCUGGGAAGUACGUACGCAAGUAUGAAACUCAAAUGAAUUGACGG